AAAUUGAAGAGUUUGAUCAUGGCUCAGAUUGAACGCUGGCGGCAGGCCUAACACAUGCAAGUCGAACGGUAACAGGAAGCAGCUUGCUGCUUCGCUGACGAGUGGCGGACGGGUGAGUAAUGUCUGGGAAACUGCCUGAUGGAGGGGGAUAACUACUGGAAACGGUAGCUAAUACCGCAUAAUGUCGCAGGACCAAAGAGGGGGACCUUCGGGCCUCUUGCCAUCAGAUGUGCCCAGAU
rnacentral:rRNA from 1 species